rnacentral:rRNA from 1 species
AACGAACGCUGGCGGCAUGCCUAACACAUGCAAGUCGAACGAGACCUUCGGGUCUAGUGGCGCACGGGUGCGUAACGCGUGGGAACCUGCCCUUAGGUUCGGAAUAACUCCCCGAAAGGGGUGCUAAUACCGGAUAAUGUCUUCGGACCAAAGAUUUAUCGCCUUUGGAUGGGCCCGCGUUGGAUUAGCUAGUUGGUAGGGUAAAAGCCUACCAAGGCGACGAUCCAUAGCUGGUCUGAGAGGAUGAUCAGCCACACUGGGGCUGAGACACGGCCCAGACUCCUACGGGAGGCAGCAGUGGGGAAUAUUGGACAAUGGGCGAAAGCCUGAUCCAGCAAUGCCGCGUGAGCGAUGAAGGCCUUAGGGUUGUAAAGCUCUUUUACCCGGGAUGAUAAUGACAGUACCGGGAGAAUAAGCUCCGGCUAACUCCGUG